CCAAGAAUAUUCCGCAAUGGACGAAAGUCUGACGGAGCGACGCCGCGUGGAUGAUGAAGGCCGGAAGGUUGUAAAAUCCUUUUAUGACUGAGGAAUAAGUGAAGUGAGGGAAACGCUUCAUGGUGACUGUAGGUCAUGAAUAAGCAACGGCUAAUUACGUGCCAGCAGCCGCGGUAACACGUAAGUUGCGAGCGUUGUUCGGAAUUAUUGGGCGUAAAGGGUAUGUAGGCGGUUCUGCAAGUCUGGUGUGAAAUGCCGGGGCUCAACCCCGGAACUGCGUUGGAAACUGCAGGACUUGAAUCGCUGAGGGGCAGCCAGAAUUCCAGGUGUAGGGGUGAAAUCUGUA
rnacentral:rRNA from 1 species